CGUUGUUCGGAUAUACUGGGCGUAAAGCGCACGUAGGCGGGCAGGUAAGUCCGUGGUGAAAUCUCUGAGCUUAACUCAGAAACUGCCAUGGAUACUAUUUGUCUUGAAUGUUGUGGAGGUAAGCGGAAUAUGUCAUGUAGCGGUGAAAUGCUUAGAUAUGACAUAGAACACCAAUUGCGAAGGCAGCUUACUACACAAAUAUUGACGCUGAGGCACGAAAGCGUGGGGAUCAAACAGG
rnacentral:rRNA from 1 species